rnacentral:lncRNA from 1 species
GGGGUUCUUUAGUUCUUGUUUUAUCAUGUACUGAUAUGUGUAUAAAGUUAUUAGAUAAACUAUGUCUGAUUCAGUUUAUCUCUGUAUCAUUUGAAUGUAUUGCCAGAUAGUUUCACUGUAUGUAUCUAUAUUCACUGUAUUAUGUUUCAUAAUCUUUUGUAUGUUUGAUAUCGUAUGAGAACCCUGUGAAUAGUUUAGUACUAGUUUGUGAGUUAGUCACUACCCUUUAUGGAUGAUCAGUAAAUCCUCCCCGGAAGUGUAACCAGAGUCUCCUGGAGGGAGAGCGAGGAAUUUGUGAAUAGAUCUAUUCGGGACUGACAAUCCCACACCUUAACUGCUAGCUACAGUUAGGCGGGCACGCCUGGGGUGACAAAUUAUGGAUAUCGUCCGACGUCUGACAAGCGUCAAGGAGGUCUCGUUGUCGUAUCAGCAUGGUUACCCGACUCACAAUAUGUAUUAAUAUAAGUUUAUUCACGNUGGAUAUCGUCCGACGUCUGACAAGCGUCAAGGAGGUCUCGUUGUCGUAUCAGCAUGGUUACCCGACUCACAAUAUGUAUUAAUAUAAGUUUAUUCACGGUUUUGGUUUUAGAGAUAUAUAUAUCUAGUACGGGAUGGUAAUCCCAUGGUUUUUAGUCUAUAUGUUUCAUAUCUAUUGCAGGAUGUUAUUCCUAUGCUUAGA